rnacentral:rRNA from 1 species
UACGGAGGGUGCGAGCGUUAUUCGGAAUUACUGGGCUUAAAGGGCGCGUAGGCGGCUCGCUAAGUCAGGCGUGAAAGUUUGCGGCUCAACCGUAAAAUUGCUUUUGAUACUGGCAGGCUAGAAUUAGGAUGAGGUUAGCGGAAUGUGGCAUGUAGCGGUGAAAUGCAUAGAUAUGCCAUAGAACACCAAUUGCGAAGGCAGCUGGCUAGACCUAUAUUGACGCUGAGGCACGAAAGCGUGGGGAGCGAACAGG